AGUGAACGCUGGCGGUAGGCCUAACACAUGCGAGUCGAACGGCAGCACAGUAAGAGCUUGCUCUUACGGGUGGCGAGUGGCGGACGGGUGAGGAAUACAUCGGAAUCUACUUUUUCGUGGGGGAUAACGUAGGGAAACUUACGCUAAUACCGCAUACGACCUACGGGUGAAAGCAGGGGAUCUUCGGACCUUGCGCGAUUGAAUGAGCCGAUGUCGGAUUAGCUAGUUGGCGGGGUAAAGGCCCACCAAGGCGACGAUCCGUAGCUGGUCUGAGAGGAUGAUCAGCCACACUGGAACUGAGACACGGUCCAGACUCCUACGGGAGGCAGCAGUGGGGAAUAUUGGACAAUGGGCGCAAGCCUGAUCCAGCCAUACCGCGUGGGUGAAGAAGGCCUUCGGGAUGUAAAGCCCUUUUGUUGGGAAAGAAAAGCAGCAGGUUAAUACCCCGCUGUUCUGACGGUACCCAAAGAAUAAGCACCGGCUAACUUCGUG
rnacentral:rRNA from 1 species